AUGCCGUUCCACACAUUAGCUGCUGUACCUGUAGUACUAUUAUGGCUCGGCGCAAGGUUCCCACUGUUGGGAGCAGCAUCGCCACAACCUAGCAGCCAGUGCCAAAGAAAAUGCGGCAGGGUAGACAUCCCUUACCCAUUCGGCAUCGUCCAUUCAUCACCCGACGACGACUACGGCCACUGCGCCAUGAACGGCUUCGGCCUGACCUGCAACGAGAACGGCAUUGAUGGUGGCCGCCAUAGGCCAUUUUAUGGCGACGUGGAGGUCGUCGGCGUCUCGCUGCAGCAAGGUCAGGCUCGGAUGCUGAAUGAUAUCUCCUAUUAUUGCUACAACACCACCUCUCGGGAGAUGGACCGCGACGAGUGGUGGCUGAACUUUGUGGGCACACCCUUGAGGUUCUCUGACACCACCAACAAGUUCACGGUCAUCGGUUGCGAAACGCUGGCAUACAUCAACGGCGAUGACAGCAACCACGGCGAUGAUGGUGAUUACGGCGGCAAGUACAUGAGCGGGUGCGUGGCCAUGUGCCGGGGAGACGAUGUGAUGUCGACCCUGAGCAACGGCUCCUGCUCCGGGAUAGGGUGCUGCCAGACCGCCAUCCCCAGGGGGCUGCAGUAUUACCACGUGGAGUUCGACUCUGCCUUCAACACGACGGAGAUCCACAACGUCAGCUGCUGCAGCUACGCGGUGCUCAUGGACUCGUCCAACUUCACCUUCUCGACCACCUAUGUGACCUCGCCGGCGUUCAAGAACAACUACGGCGGCCAGGCGCCGUUCGUGGUUGACUGGUCUAUCGGGAACGACACAUGCGACGUAGCCCGCAAGAAGCCUGGGUCCUACGCGUGUGUCAGCGACAAUAGCGAGUGCUUCAACUCGCUCAAUGGACCAGGCUACAUCUGCAACUGCUCCAAAGGCUUCCAUGGUAAUCCUUACCUGCAAGAUCCGGAGCACGGAUGCAAAGACAUUGAUGAAUGCAAGCUCCCCCAACUGUAUCACUGCACAAAUGGCGGGGUCUGCAGAAACUGGCUGGGAGGCUAUGACUGUCCAUGCAAAUUUAGAUGGAAAGGCGACGCCAAAGCGGGAACUUGCAUAGAUCAUUUCCCUCUAGCAGCAAAGAUUGUAGUCGGUACAAUUGUUGGCAUUCCUAUCAUGGUGAUUAUAACAUUUCUUGUUAUUCUUCACAACGAGAAAAAGAAGAUUGCAGAAUUCUUCAAAAAGAACGGCGGCCCUACAUUAGAGAAGGCAACAAGCAUUAAAAUUUUCAAAAAGGAGGACCUCAAGUCAUUUCUAAACAAAAAUAACUUAAUUGCAAAUGGUUCCUUUGGUAAAGUUUACAAGGGCCUUCUUGAAAAUAAACUAGUUGCAAUAAAGAAGCCGAUUAAUGGUAGCGUGCGAGAGAAUGAACAAUUUGCAAAUGAAGUCAUCAUCCAAUCUCAAGUCAUCCACAAGAACAUUGUUAGGCUCAUUGGUUGUUGCCCUGAAGUUGAAGCCCCCCUCCUGGUCUAUGAGUUUAUCUCCCAAGGUAGCCUCCAUGACAUUCUUCACAACAAUAAUAACAAGGUGGCUCUCAACUUGGAUGCACGUUUAAGAAUUGCUGCACAUUCAGCGGAUGGUCUAGCUUAUAUGCACUCACAAGCAAACACUAGAAUUCUACACGGUGAUGUCAAACCAGCAAAUAUACUCUUGGAUGAGAACUUUGCACCCAAAAUUUCAGACUUUGGCAUAUCUAGCUUGCUUGCAACAGACAAAUAACAUACUGCAUCAAUCAUCGGCGACAUGAAUUACAUGGAUCCAGUAUAUCUACAAGAAGGCCUACUCACGGAAAAAAGUGAUGUCUACAGUUUCGGAGUUGUGAUGCUGGAGCUUAUUAGCAGGAGGAAGGCCAUAUAUUCUGAUAAUAACAGCUUGGUAAAGUGUUUCCUUGAAGCCCAUAAGGAACAGAAGAAACCAACGGAGUUUUUUGACAAGGAAAUUGCAAUUGCGGAAGAUUUAGAGCUUCUUGAUAGUCUGGCAGGUAUUGCCGUGCAAUGCCUUAGCCUUGAUGUAGAUCAAAGAUCCACGAUGAUGGAGGUAGCUGAGCAGAUACACAAACUCAGUCGAUCUCGUAAGGUGUAA
rnacentral:rRNA from 1 species